rnacentral:rRNA from 1 species
AGCGAACGCUGGCGGCAGGCCUAACACAUGCAAGUCGAACGAAGUCUUCGGACUUAGUGGCGGACGGGUGAGUAACACGUGGGAACGUGCCUUUAGGUUCGGAAUAACUCAGGGAAACUUGUGCUAAUACCGAAUGUGCCCUUCGGGGGAAAGAUUUAUCGCCUUUAGAGCGGCCCGCGUCUGAUUAGCUAGUUGGUGAGGUAAAGGCUCACCAAGGCUACGAUCAGUAGCUGGUCUGAGAGGAUGACCAGCCACAUUGGGACUGAGACACGGCCCAAACUCCUACGGGAGGCAGCAGUGGGGAAUCUUGCGCAAUGGGCGUAAGCCUGACGCAGCCAUGCCGCGUGGAUGAUGAAGGUCUUAGGAUUGCAAAAUCCUUUCACCGGUGAAGAUAAUGACUGUAGCCGGAGAAGAAGCCCCGGCUAACUUCGUGCCAGCAGCCGCCGUAAUAC